rnacentral:rRNA from 1 species
UACGUAGGGUGCAAGCGUUUGUCCGGAUUUAUUGGGCGUAAAGGGCGCGCAGGCGGCUACGCACGUCCGUUGUGAAAUCGCUCGGCUCAACUGGGCGGGGUCAGCGGAUACGGCGUAGCUGGAGCAAGCUAGGGGGCAAUGGAAUUCCCGGUGUAGUGGUGGAAUGCGUAGAUAUCGGGAGGAACACCAGUGGCGAAGGCGGUUGCCUGGAGCUUUGCUGACGCUGAGGCGCGAAAGCGUGGGGAGCGAUCCGG